GGGUGGCGCACGUGCGCUCCGUUUGGGUGGGGUGGGCUGCCUACCGCUAUACGCCUGUACCGCAGCCGGUGUGGCUGACGCUGAAGUGUGCUCCGCUCCGCCUCCGCCCGCGGCCGUACGCUCCCGAGCUCCACCCGUCGCGCCCCGACCGAGAUCGUCCCCGGCGAUGGCUUCCGCGGUGGCCGCUUCGACCGCUACGCGGUUCCUGCCGCGGCUUCCGGACCCGUGGUGGACGCGUCGUGCGCGAGCGGCGCUCCCGCCGCCGCCGCUCACGUGGCGGCCUCUCCCGUUCACGGUGUCCGCCGCGUCGUCCCGCCCUGGGGAAGCGGAAGGAGGACGGCGCGGGAGGAUGCGGAGGCGGCGCGCCAGGAGGGCGGAACAGGAGGAAGGCGUCUCGCUAAGCUCUGAAAAGGAGACGGUAAAUUCUACUCCACGUGCUCAACCCAAAAAGGGUGCAGAACCCGUAGCGGUGUCCAGCACGAGUGGGAAAGGCUCUGCCAUUAGAAGGGUGACACUUGUGAUUCUUGCUGCCGUGCUUUUUGGAGUUAGCAUUGCCUUGAAGGACGGGGCCGAGAAGGCAUCGGAGUAUUUUGCUGGGUAUUUAUUGGAACAGAGUUUGUCGGUGGACAAUCUCUUUGUUUUUGUUCUGGUCUUUAAGUAUUUCAAAGUGCCAAAUGAAUACCAGAAUCGAGUACUUUCUUAUGGUAUUGCUGGAGCUGUGGUCUUCCGGGCUGUGAUGAUCAUCCUAGGAACAGCUACCAUCCAGAAAUUUGAGGCGGUGAAUUUGUUGUUGGCUUUGAUCCUGUUAUUCACUUCUUACAAGCUCUUUGCUGAAGAAGAAGAAGAAUCUGAUCUAUCUGAUAACUUCAUUGUGAAAACAUGCCAAAAGUUCAUUCCAGUCACUGAUUAUUAUGAUGAUAAUCGUUUUUUCACAAAUCAAGAUGGUGUAUGGAAAGCUACACCAUUGCUCUUGACUUUGGCAGUGAUUGAGCUGAGUGAUAUUGCCUUUGCUAUUGACUCAAUACCAGCAGUUUUUGGCGUCACAAGGGAUCCACUUAUAAUACUAUCAUCAAAUAUUUUUGCUAUUUCUGGGUACAGUUGCUGCACUUCUAGAUAAUGUCAAGAGCUAACUUGAUGGAAUUAUUGUUAUGUCAGGUUUGCGGUCGCUCUAUGUGCUCGUUUCUGAAAGCAUGGGUGAAUUGGAGUAUCUACAGCCUGCCAUUGGUAUUGUGUUGGGCUUCAUUGGGACAAAGAUGAUCUUUGACUUUUUUGGUUAUCAUAUACCAACAGAAGCUUCGCUUGCAAUUGUAACUACAUGUCUUAGUGGAGGCGUCAUAUUAAGUCUUAGGAAAGCAUCAAAAGAGAAGGGGGACAAGUAGACUGAUGCAACAACACAUGCAGGCAUAGGAAUCCAGCUUGCUCCAUAUUUUUGGCAGAUAGUCAAGUUACAAAAAUAAUUAUAAUAAACACUUAAAAGCCAGGUAAACAUAGUGUUUUCACUAAACUAAUUACUUGUAUAAAAAAAUCUAACCUGACAGAAUAUCUUUUGAUCAGUAUAUGUAGUCUUAGCUAA